UUAAGUUAUUAAGGGCGCACGGUGGAUGCCUUGGCACUAGAAGCCGAUGAAGGACGUUACUAACGACGAUAUGCUUUGGGGAGCUGUAAGUAAGCUUUGAUCCAGAGAUUUCCGAAUGGGGAAACCCAGCAUGAGUUAUGUCAUGUUAUCGAUAUGUGAAUACAUAGCAUAUCAGAAGGCACACCCGGAGAACUGAAACAUCUUAGUACCCGGAGGAAGAGAAAGAAAAUUCGAUUCCCUUAGUAGCGGCGAGCGAAACGGGAAGAGCCCAAACCAACAAGCUUGCUUGUUGGGGUUGUAGGACACUCUAUACGGAGUUACAAAGGACGACAUUAGACGAAUCAUCUGGAAAGAUGAAUCAAAGAAGGUAAUAAUCCUGUAGUCGAAAAUGUUGUCUCUCUUGAGUGGAUCCUGAGUACGACGGAGCACGUGAAAUUCCGUCGGAAUCUGGGAGGACCAUCUCCUAAGGCUAAAUACUCUCUAGUGACCGAUAGUGAACCAGUACCGUGAGGGAAAGGUGAAAAGCACCCCGGAAGGGGAGUGAAAUAGAACCUGAAACCGUGUGCUUACAAGUAGUCAGAGCCCGUUAAUGGGUGAUGGCGUGCCUUUUGUAGAAUGAACCGGCGAGUUACGAUUUAAUGCAAGGUUAAGCAGUAAAUGUGGAGCCGUAGCGAAAGCGAGUCUGAAUAGGGCGUUUAGUAUUUGGUCGUAGACCCGAAACCAGGUGAUCUACCCUUGGUCAGGUUGAAGUUCAGGUAACACUGAAUGGAGGACCGAACCGACUUACGUUGAAAAAUGAGCGGAUGAACUGAGGGUAGCGGAGAAAUUCCAAUCGAACCUGGAGAUAGCUGGUUCUCUCCGAAAUAGCUUUAGGGCUAGCCUCAAGUGAUGAUUAUUGGAGGUAGAGCACUGUUUGGACGAGGGGCCCCUCUCGGGUUACCGAAUUCAGACAAACUACGAAUGCCAAUUAAUUUAACUUGGGAGUCAGAACAUGGGUGAUAAGGUCCGUGUUCGAAAGGGAAACAGCCCAGACCACCAGCUAAGGUCCCAAAAUAUAUGUUAAGUGGAAAAGGAUGUGGCGUUGCCCAGACAACUAGGAUGUUGGCUUAGAAGCAGCCAUCAUUUAAAGAGUGCGUAAUAGCUCACUAGUCGAGUGACACUGCGCCGAAAAUGUACCGGGGCUAAACAUAUUACCGAAGCUGUGGAUUGUCCUUUGGACAAUGGUAGGAGAGCGUUCUAAGGGCGUUGAAGCAUGAUCGUAAGGACAUGUGGAGCGCUUAGAAGUGAGAAUGCCGGUGUGAGUAGCGAAAGACGGGUGAGAAUCCCGUCCACCGAUUGACUAAGGUUUCCAGAGGAAGGCUCGUCCGCUCUGGGUUAGUCGGGUCCUAAGCUGAGGCCGACAGGCGUAGGCGAUGGAUAACAGGUUGAUAUUCCUGUACCACCUAUAAUCGUUUUAAUCGAUGGGGGGACGCAGUAGGAUAGGCGAAGCGUGCGAUUGGAUUGCACGUCUAAGCAGUAAGGCUGAGUAUUAGGCAAAUCCGGUACUCGUUAAGGCUGAGCUGUGAUGGGGAGAAGACAUUGUGUCUUCGAGUCGUUGAUUUCACACUGCCGAGAAAAGCCUCUAGAUAGAAAAUAGGUGCCCGUACCGCAAACCGACACAGGUAGUCAAGAUGAGAAUUCUAAGGUGAGCGAGCGAACUCUCGUUAAGGAACUCGGCAAAAUGACCCCGUAACUUCGGGAGAAGGGGUGCUCUUUAGGGUUAACGCCCAGAAGAGCCGCAGUGAAUAGGCCCAAGCGACUGUUUAUCAAAAACACAGGUCUCUGCUAAACCGUAAGGUGAUGUAUAGGGGCUGACGCCUGCCCGGUGCUGGAAGGUUAAGAGGAGUGGUUAGCUUCUGCGAAGCUACGAAUCGAAGCCCCAGUAAACGGCGGCCGUAACUAUAACGGUCCUAAGGUAGCGAAAUUCCUUGUCGGGUAAGUUCCGACCCGCACGAAAGGCGUAACGAUUUGGGCACUGUCUCAUCGAGAGACUCGGUGAAAUCAUAGUACCUGUGAAGAUGCAGGUUACCCGCGACAGGACGGAAAGACCCCGUGGAGCUUUACUGUAGCCUGAUAUUGAAAUUCGGCACAGCUUGUACAGGAUAGGUAGGAGCCUUUGAAACGUGAGCGCUAGCUUACGUGGAGGCGCUGGUGGGAUACUACCCUAGCUGUGUUGGCUUUCUAACCCGCACCACUUAUCGUGGUGGGAGACAGUGUCAGGCGGGCAGUUUGACUGGGGCGGUCGCCUCCUAAAAGGUAACGGAGGCGCUCAAAGGUUCCCUCAGAAUGGUUGGAAAUCAUUCAUAGAGUGUAAAGGCAUAAGGGAGCUUGACUGCGAGACCUACAAGUCGAGCAGGGUCGAAAGACGGACUUAGUGAUCCGGUGGUUCCGCAUGGAAGGGCCAUCGCUCAACGGAUAAAAGCUACCCCGGGGAUAACAGGCUUAUCUCCCCCAAGAGUUCACAUCGACGGGGAGGUUUGGCACCUCGAUGUCGGCUCAUCGCAUCCUGGGGCUGUAGUCGGUCCCAAGGGUUGGGCUGUUCGCCCAUUAAAGCGGUACGCGAGCUGGGUUCAGAACGUCGUGAGACAGUUCGGUCCCUAUCCGUCGUGGGCGUAGGAAAUUUGAGAGGAGCUGUCCUUAGUACGAGAGGACCGGGAUGGACAUACCUCUGGUGUACCAGUUGUCGUGCCAACGGCAUAGCUGGGUAGCUAUGUGUGGACGGGAUAAGUGCUGAAAGCAUCUAAGCAUGAAGCCCCCCUCAAGAUGAGAUUUCCCAACUUCGGUUAUAAGAUCCCUCAAAGAUGAUGAGGUUAAUAGGUUCGAGGUGGAAGCAUGGUGACAUGUGGAGCUGACGAAUACUAAUCGAUCGAAGACUUAAUCAA
rnacentral:rRNA from 1 species